UCUGUGACCUACACCACAGCUCACAGCAAUGCUGGAUCCUUAACCCACUGAGCAAGGCUGGAGAUUGAACCCACAACCUCGUGGUUCCUAGUCAGAUUCGUUGACCACUGAGCCACGAUGGGAACUCCCCUGUAACGGCAUUUUUGAUCUCUGUAAAUUUCUAAAGCAAGAUCACUAAGCAGUGGAGCUGUGCAGAGUGCCUUAGCUCUACCCAAGCUGAACAUAUGAAAAAUCAAAUAGAGACGAUCCAGGGCCACAAUUGUGGGAAGUUCCCAGGCUAGGGAGCAAAUCGAAGUUGCACUUUCCAGCCUACACCACAGCCACAGCAAUGUGGAAUUCAAGCUGUGACUGUGACCUACACCACAGCUCAUGGCAGUGCCAGAUCCUUAACCCACUGAGCAAGGCCAGAGAUCGAACCCUUAUCCUCACGGAUACUAGUCUGGUUGUUAACCCCGUGAGCCGUAAGAGGAACAUCUCUCUUCCUUUUCCUAUUAUUUCUUAUAAUCUUCACAAGACUUACAACUAUGUGAAAUUAUCUUGUUCUCUUAGUUAUCAAUACUUUUGUAUCAUCUAUUUCAUUCACCUUACAAUCCAGAUAUAUAUAAGCUAUGUUGGGGUGAGAAGUGUGCCUGAUUUUUUUUACUGAUGUAUUGCAGUUCCUGGAAUAAUGCAGGACACAGAUCUACAUAAUCAAUGGAUGAACUGAUGAAUAAAUUAAUGAAAGAUUGAAUGAAUGUAUAAAUGUCGUUAUCCUCUGCAGAAAGGGGUUAGCAUAUUAGUCUUUAUAAUUCUGUGGACUGUAUUUUGAGGCUUCAGUUAAUUGAAACUUCUUUUUUUUUUCUUUUCUUUUCUAGGGCUGCACCCACAGCAUAUGGAGGUUCCCAGGCUAGGGGUUGAAUCAGAACUGUAGCCGCCAGCCUAUGCCAGAGCCACAGCAAUGCCAGAUCUGAGCCGUGUCUGUGACCUACACCACAGGUCACGACAACACCGGAUCCUUGACCCACUGAGCAAGGCCAGGGAUCGAACCCACAACCUCAUGGUUCCUAGUCGGAUUCGUUAACCGCUGAGCCACGACUGGAACUCCAGUUAAUUGAAACUUCUUAAAAAUAAUUCUUUCUUAUUCAUACAUGCCAUAUUAAUUGUUGAGGCAGGAACACUUUACCAGGUUCUCAAUAGCUUGCUCUCCUAUGGACAAAACAUAAGUACUUUUCUUCUUUGUGUUUUCUUUAAGGCUGUGACAUCACAGGUUUUUGGACAUUAGACAUCUCAGAGAAUCUUAUCUCUUAGCUCCUUACCCAGCAGGGAACAUUUGUCAAUGCACCCCAAGGGAUGAUGCUCUGUAAGAGCCCUGAGAGUCCCAGUUCUCCUUGGGAAACUAAUUCUUGAAUUGCACAUGAAAGAGUGUUAAAUCAUGCCAAACAAAGGAACACCGUUUACCUAAAAAUAUGUGUGGCCACAAUUACUGAAGCUUCUCUUCUGAAGGCUUCCCUUUCGAUGUGAUUUUUAUUCAAUAUUUACUUUAAAGAAAUAGCACUUGGAAAAUGAAAACAAGAAAUCUGAAUGGUUUUCCUUUUUUUCAUGAAUAAAGAUUUUUAUCAUUUUGUCAUUUCUUUACAGGGGACUCUUUUACUUUGAAAAUGAAAUACUCAAUAAAAGAUGAAAAAGCUUAUUAGACUUUGGGAAAAAGGAAGUAAACAGUUUUCUGGGAUGAGUGACUUUAUUGCUUUAACACAUAACGAUUUUUAGAAGAAUUUAUAUUCUGCUUCUCUGGAAGGAGAGUGCAAAGCUGUGACUCAUGUGUUUUCUCUAACAAAUCUCUGCCUCUAACAAAUGGCUUUGUUUGUUGGUUUGAUGACCUUUGUUGAGAGCCUUUGAUAAUAAGGUUGAGAAUUAAGACGUCACCAGACAGUGGUGCACAGAUGGGCUUCAGCUGAUACUUUAGAAAAAUAAUAUCUUCAUCCUCCAGCUAUUUCCCCAUAAAUCCAGCCACCUUGCUGUUUCAGAAAAAAACUACUUUUUAAAAAUGCUGCUACUUUUUUCCAUGAUUAAAAAUCGUCCUACCAUUUCUUUCCUCCUAGUAAUUGUAUAAAUAAAAAGCAUAAAGUAGAAGGGGCUGAAAUCUCAGGAAAAGAGCAAUACUUUUUCCACAUCAAACAUGCUAUCUUUUUUUGAGGGUCACUUUUAAGUUUCCGGAGAGCCUCUUUACAUUUUUAGCAUCACAGGUCUGAAAAUGAAUUAGUGGCUACGUUGAGUCACCUCAAGAAAUUAAGUUUCUGUGUUUGUGCAAUCUUUGGGAUUUGAGCAUGAGGUUUCAUUUUAGUUAGAAGGAAACCACACUACCAGAAAUAAGGUUCUCCCUAUCAUUUUUUCCCAGGGCCAUUUCAGGUGAUGAAACAUAACUAAUCAGGAAAGAAAAUACAACUAUUUCAAUUGCUCGAGGCUGUAAAGAAAUUAGGGGAAGCUCAGAAAACUGAUCGGUGGAGUUGAAAACCAAUGUUUGAACCCUGUCCAGUCUCAAGUGUGUUUCUUUAUGGAUGCGUGUAUGUGAGUGUGUGUGCUAUGAGAGACAUGAUGUGAAUAACCUCUAUUCUGUACAUAAAUAUGGUUUCCCGGAAUGGCAGAAUAAACAGUGAUCUCUAUGAUUUGCAUUUAGAAGUUCUAGGUAAGACUCUCCUGCCCUUUUCCAAAUUUCCUCUAUCUGCCUAGAUUCUGAGUUCUGACACCUUUUCAACAUGUGGCAAGGCAUUUAAUUUUGCUCUUAUAGUUCAGGAUUUGCAUUUGUAAAAUCAUAUAGACUUAGGUUCAGGCAAGGGCAUAAAACAGUAUUAAUAGAGGUUCAAAGGGUAGUGGAUUUCACAUAUGUUUAGUCACAACUAUAUGAUGGACAUGCUAGCACUCAUUUUCUCCUUUAAGAUGUAAAAUAAUGUUGUAAAUGAGAUGGUGUUAUUUGGCUCUGAGGAUAUUAAGAUGAGAAAUUAAAUAACUUUUCUAAGAUCGUAGAGAGUCAGAAUUGUUAGAAAAGGAAAUCAAAGAUGGAUCUAUCGGAUUCUAGUGCCACAGAUUCUGCCUGGACCUACUGCAGCACUGAGCUGGUUAGGAAAUCUGGAAUAUCUAUUGUAGGAAAAGAGAAAAGAUUGCUGAAUUAAAGGUAAGCUUGGUAUGCGCCACAAUUUUAAAUAAAUACUUAUAGUCACUGAAGUUAUUUUUUUUUGUUUGUUUUUUGUUUUUAAUUCUUAAGCUUUAUGACCAGAUAAUUUACAGAUCCCCUACUUUAAGCCUUCCAUGAGUUGGCAAAAGUGCCAUUAUCACACACAUCCAGUAGUUCUACAGUUGUGUUUGUGAAUACCUGAAUUCCAACAGCCUGACCUUGUAAGAAUUCACCUGCGAAGUUUGCUAACAUAUCUCGUCACACUGAAUUUUAAAAGCCUCUGAUCUUAAAGAUCAUCUAUAAAAUGUGAGAAAUGCUAAAUAUUCUUUACUUGAUGCUGUACAUAAACCUCGCUAAAAUACCUUUCAAUAAGUAAAAGGCAGUAUUUUUGAUAUAGGUAAUUUUAAUGAAAUUGGCAUAGUUAAGACCAAAAAGAUAAAGGGGACAUUGUCAGUUUACCUUUGGCUCAUGCCUUGACAGGCUAGUGAACACAACUUGAAACACAGGUGAAUCUUGCUCUGUUCUAUGAGACAGGGAAGGGAUCUUCUCAGUAUUUAAAUAUAUUAAUAUAACCCGUUAUAGAAAUCUAAAUAUAAAACCAAUCUCCUAUAGGUUCUGAGAAGGUAUUCACCGUUUUCCUGAAAAAUUUAACACUCCACAUUCAAGUUUAACCAUCUCUGUAGAAGGGAAAGAGAGUGAUAGUACUUGUUGAACUAGAAUUAAUAUUAAAAUUCAAACAGCUGACCAUAUUCACUUAGCCACCAACCAAUCUUAUUUCAAUCAGGACCAUCCAACAGAAACAUUCCAUCAGCCAUACAUGAUCUGAAUUCUAGAGUAUGAGAUCAAUUCAAAUAUGGUACACAUGUAAAAGUCAUGAGACAUUUUGGUCUUGUAAUAAAUAAGGCAGUGGCCAACUUUUACUCAUUAGUAGCUUUUUUGAGAUAAGCUAUCAAGUCUUCCCUUUCUCCCUUCUAAAUGCCAGCGAAGAUCAUUUUUGUUCCAGGGAUGUACUUCUUGGGAUUCUCCAGGUACUCCAUCAGUGUCUCCUCUCCCCAGGUGAUGCCUUUGUUCUUGUUGGCAUCUGUAAAGUGAAUCCAGGAGCCUGACCUGUCUUCCACCCAAAGAGACCAUGGAGGUUUGGACCAGUCUUGUGCUUGCCUCCCUUUUCUACAGUGUGGCACUGGGCACACUUCUGAACAAAAAUCUUCUUGCCCUUCUCAACAUCGCCCAUUUUAAAAUCGUUCUUUCGCCGAGCUCAACAGGCAAACCACCACUCGCAGGCCUGACGUCCCGCUUUCUAGCAGUCACUUGAAGUUAUGUUUAUAUACUCUAGGCAAUGAAGGGGUGUUUUAGAGUCUCAGAAGCUGUAGGUAUAUGUCCCACUGAGAAAGUUUAUAAAUUGUAAUUCAUUCCUCAGAUCUUAGUGUAACCUGUUACACAAAAGUUGGUUUUAAACAUAUUUGACUUUUUAAUUUCUGAAAGGGUCUAGUUCAUGGCUGUGAACAUUUUAAGUGGUCAGUAGUUCACUGAAUUUUGGUUUGGGGGCACCAACUGCCACCUUCAUACACAUACACUUGCGUAUUUAUUUUGAUAAUUUACUUAAUAAUGUGUUUAUAUUCAUAUAUGUAUAUUUCUACUCUUUAAGCAAUCAAAAUAGAAUGCUGUGACUUGUCUCUUCACUGGCAUGUGUACCUCUGAUCUCAUAGAUGACCAAUAAUACCCCUUUGCUCUAUGCUUCCAUACUCGUUUGUUCCUUCUGUGAUCAUUAUCACACUUGUCAUUACUGGUUUAACACCUGUUCUCUCUACAAAACAUCACUUCCAUGAAAGCAAGGCCAUGACUGUCUUGUUCUCUGUCGUAUCAUCAGCCCUUUAACAAAAUGAGUAAUAUAUAAUAAGAGCUUAAGAAGUAGUCAAUGAAUUGAAAUGAAAUUGAAAUUCAGUAUUCUCUUUGUAAGGCAACUGUCCCUGAGAUGAACUACACAUUAAGCAAUGGUAAACUAAAAACUGUGUUUCUAGGCAAUAUCUUAGAAGCCAAUGAUGGACAAGAAAGUUAUAUGUGUGUGUAUAUAUAUGUAUAUAUGUAUAUAUGUUAUAAAGAUGCUUCAAAAAGUAAUUUGCUGAAAUCUAAGUUUUGCUUAGGAUUAUCUCAUAGUUGUAAUAUUACUCAUUCUUUUUGAAAAUAUUUUUGAUAGGUAUUCUAUUAGUUGCUAAGGAUUCAAAGAUAAAUACGAGAGACUAGUAGGGGAAUUAACUCUUUAGAAGCUCAGAAGGCUUUUAUGAAAAUGCACAUUACUUAGAUCAGUGGUCUUCAAGUUUUGGGUUGUGUAUCCCAAGGAGUAUUUUGAAAAUACGUAUGUGCCCCUUUGUACAUUUUAAAAUAAACAUUUUAAAUAAAU
rnacentral:lncRNA from 1 species